rnacentral:rRNA from 1 species
GUGUCAGCAGCCGCGGUAAUACAGAGACUGCAAGCGUUAUUCGGAUUCACUGGGCGUAAAGGGUGCGCAGGCGGCUAAGUGUGUGAGGCGUGAAAGCCCGGGGCUUAACCCCGGAAUUGCACCUCAAACUACUUAGCUAGAGCAUUGGAGAGGGUAGCAGAAUUCAUGGUGUAGCAGUGAAAUGCGUAGAUAUCAUGAGGAAUACCAGAGGCGAAGGCGGCUACCUGGACAAUUGCUGACGCUCAGGCACGAAAGCGUGGGGAGCAAAAGGGAUUAGAUACCCCUGUAGUCCACGCCCUAAACGGUGCACACUAGGUCUUGGCGGAUUCGACCCCGCCAGGGCCCAAGCUAACGCGUUAAGUGUGCCGCCUGAGGACUACGGCCGCAAGGCUAAAACUUAAAGGAAUUGACGGGG